CCCCUUUCAGGGUCACACCUGGAGAGUUUCCAGUACUCUACCAGUCUUGACUAUGGGAGGGAGUGUCAAGCAGAGCCUACCAAUUCCAUUCUUAGCUUGGGCAGUGGCUAGCGAGUGGAAGGCAAUUUGCUACAAGU
rfam:Ornithorhynchus anatinus chromosome 6, whole genome shotgun sequence.